UAGGGAAUAUUGGACAAUGGGUGAGAGCCUGAUCCAGCCAUGCCGCGUGCAGGAAGAAGGCCUUCUGGGUUGUAAACUGCUUUUGCCAGGGGAUAAAAAGCCCUUGCGAGGGAAAUUGAAGGUACCUGGUGAAUAAGCCACGGCUAACUACGUGCCAGCAGCCGCGGUAAUACGUAGGUGGCAAGCGUUGUCCGGAUUUAUUGGGUUUAAAGGGUGCGUAGGCGGUUCUAUAAGUCAGUGGUGAAAUCCGGCAGCUUAACUGUCGAUGUGCCAUUGAUACUGCAGAACUUGAGUACAGACGAGGUAGGCGGAAUUGACGGUGUAGCGGUGAAAUGCUUAGAUAUCGUCAAGAACACCGAUAGCGAAGGCAGCUUACUAGACUGUAACUGACGCUGAUGCACGAAAGUGUGGGGAUCAAACA
rnacentral:rRNA from 1 species